rnacentral:lncRNA from 1 species
GCCUCUGAUGGUGCCUCGCACACCAACCUUCAUGCUGGCGGUGGUGGGAAGGCCUUCCAUGCAAGUGUUCUCGUCGGUCAACGCGGAGCUCACCCACGUCUGCAUGUCGUUGACGCGGAGCCGCAGGUCCUUGCCCUUGAGAUGCCCCAUCUCCUUGAGCGAGUCCCGGAGCUCCUCCACCGAGUUGCCCAUGUUCUCCAAGCAGUCGUUCAUGGCCUCCGCCUCCCUGGCGCCCACCCCGGCCCCGCUGCCUUUGAGCAGCUUGGUGAUGGUGGCGGCGGUAGUGCGCGCGCCGGUCAGGCUCACCGAGAGCGCCGCCUGAGCCAGUUGAACCGGGCUCCUCUGGAUCGUGGUCGCGUACGCUGACAGAGAGCUGAAGCAGAGGCUCGGGUACUGCGUCGCGCCGCAGGAAGAGCGGAUGAAGUUCAGGUUCUUCCCGCCGUAGGGUUCAGGUCUCGCCGCAGAACAAGUGCCGGCACUGACAGCCAAUGCUACAAGGAAGAUGAGAGCAACGAGAGAGCCGCUUCGGAAUGCCAUGGCUUCGUUGCAGAUGGAUC